CUAGGACAGAGCAGGAGCUCCAGGGUAGAAGACCCAGAUCUCUGAAGGCUCAUAUGAACUCACUGAUCAACUCUACCUACUGUGUGUCAGGUGCUAUUUAGGGCCAAAGACAGAACAUCCCCUGGAUGACUUCUAAAUGAAUACCUACUAAGCGCCAGAUGCCAUGAUCCUGUAGAACUCCUUUGCAAAGGAUCUACAUCUUCCAUUUACAGCUGUCACAUCACCUGGAGCUUCAGGGCAUCCCCUGGAUGACUUCUAAAUGAAUACCUACUAAGCGCCAGAUGCCAUGAUCCUGUAGAACUCCUUUGCAAAGGAUCUACAUCUUCCAUUUACAGCUGUCACAUCACCUGGAGCUUCAGGGCAAGCCACCCCCAGAAACACACUUCUUCCAGCAAGAUCCCAACUCUGAAAAGUUCAGCAACCCCUGCCCCCAAACAGUGCCUCCUGAUGGGAGCCUGUAAGGGACAUUUCAAGUUCAACCCUCAGCACGUGGGAACGGACACCAGGAGCUUCAUCCGGUCUGGCCAAUCCAAGGGGCCUCUCUGAGGAGGGGAUUUUUAAGAGGACAAUUGGUGGAUGUCUAGAAAGCUUCCAAGAAGUACUACAUGGAUGGGGUCUCGAGAGAUGGCUAACACUUAAAAGCACAUACUGCUCUUCCAGAGGACCUGGGUUUGGUUCUCAGUGCCCACAUGGCCGCUCACAAACAUUUGUAGCUCCAGUUCUAGGGGCUCCUUGGAUACAGCACACACAAUGUGCACAUGCCUACAUGCAAGCAAAAC